CUUACACAUGCAAGUCGAGCGGAAAGGCCCUUCGGGGUACUCGAGCGGCGAACGGGUGAGUAACACGUGAGUAACCUGCCCCUGACUCUGGGAUAAGCCCGGGAAACUGGGUCUAAUACCGGAUAUGACACGUUCCUGCAUGGGAUGCGUGUGGAAAGUUGUUUCGGUUGGGGAUGGACUCGCGGCCUAUCAGCUUGUUGGUGGGGUAACGGCCUACCAAGGCGACGACGGGUAGCCGGCCUGAGAGGGCGACCGGCCACACUGGGACUGAGACACGGCCCAGACUCCUACGGGAGGCAGCAGUGGGGAAUAUUGCGCAAUGGGCGGAAGCCUGACGCAGCGACGCCGCGUGGGGGAUGACGGCCUUCGGGUUGUAAACCUCUUUCAGCAGGGACGAAGGUGACGUGUACCUGCAGAAGAAGCGCCGGCUAACUACGUGCCAGCAGCCGCGGUAAUACGUAGGGCGCAAGCGUUGUCCGGAAUUAUUGGGCGUAAAGAGCUCGUAGGUGGCUUGUCGCGUCGGGUGUGAAAGCUUGGGGCUUAACUCCAGGUCUGCAUUCGAUACGGGCUGGCUAGAGGUAGGCAGGGGAGAACGGAAUUCCUGGUGUAGCGGUGAAAUGCGCAGAUAUCAGGAGGAACACCGGUGGCGAAGGCGGUUCUCUGGGCCUUACCUGACGCUGAGGAGCGAAAGCGUGGGGAGCGAACAGGAUUAGAUACCCUGGUAGUCCACGCCGUAAACGUUGGGCGCUAGGUGUGGGGGCCUUCCACGGUUUCCGCGCCGUAGCUAACGCAUUAAGCGC
rnacentral:rRNA from 1 species